AAGAAAGCUUGCUUUCUUUGCUGGCGACCGGCGCACGGGUGAGUAACACGUAUCCAACCUACCCUUUACUCGGGGAUAGCCUUUCGAAAGAAAGAUUAAUACCCGAUAGCAUAAUGAUUCCGCAUGGUUUCAUUAUUAAAGGAUUCCGGUAAAGGAUGGGGAUGCGUUCCAUUAGGUUGUUGGUGGGGUAACGGCCCACCAAGCCUUCGAUGGAUAGGGGUUCUGAGAGGAAGGUCCCCCACGUUGGAACUGAGACACGGUCCAAACUCCUACGGGAGGCAGCAUG
rnacentral:rRNA from 1 species